rnacentral:rRNA from 1 species
AAUCAACGCUGGCGGCGUGCCUCAGACAUGCAAGUCGAACGAUUAAAGCUCUCUUCGGAGAGUGCAUAGAGUGGCGCACGGGUGAGUAACACGUAAGUAAUCUACCUUCGAGUGGGGAAUAACGUCCGGAAACGGACGCUAAUACCGCAUAAUGCAGCGGCAUCGCAAGAUGACAGUUGUUAAAGAUUUAUCGCUUGAAGAGGAGCUUGCGGCAGAUUAGCUAGUUGGUAAGGUAAUGGCUUACCAAGGCUACGAUCUGUAACCGGUCUUAGAGGACGGUCGGUCACACUGACACUGAAUAACGGGUCAGACUCCUACGGGAGGCAGCAGUCGGGAAUUUUGGGCAAUGGGCGAGAGCCUGACCCAGCAACGCCGCGUGAAGGAUGAAGUAUUUCGGUAUGUAAACUUCGAAAGAAUGGGAAGAAUCAAUGACGGUACCAUUUAUAAGGUCCGGCUAACUACGUGCCAGCCGCCGCGGUAA